rnacentral:misc_RNA from 1 species
UUGAUUUGUCACCUUCAGGUCCUGUGCUAAGUUGUCCACACAUAAUAUCUGAGGGCUUUGAUUCCGUCUUCAAUGAAGAAUCACCAACAGUACUACUGGCAGGAGAAGAGGCAGAAGGUUCCACCCCUUCAGAUGAGGACAAUGACAAGUUAUACAAAAGAUCCACCGAAGAUAAAGCUUCCCUUUCCAAAUAAGAAGUUCCAUUCUUUGAAUUGUUGAACAUGUUAAUUUCUCUUCCUGUAUUUAUCAAAUCGGUAUUGCAUUCCGCUUCUGCUUCAUUGGUAGAGCACCGAUCCUUUGAUAAGCCAGAGAUGUUAACAACCUUCCACUGCUCAACUGUGAAUAGCUCAUUAUUAAGGGAUACUGAAUUGUAAUUCUCACACAUGCUAUGAUAUGGAACUUCAUUUGUUUCAUAUAGUGAACCAGUCAAGAGAUCUUGUUGA